GGGGAUUUAGCUCAGUGGCAUAAGCACCUGCCUUGCAAGUAGAUGGUCAUGAGUUCAAUCCCCA
rnacentral:tRNA from 1 species